UAGGGAAUCUUCGGCAAUGGACGAAAGUCUGACCGAGCAACGCCGCGUGAGUGAAGAAGGUUUUCGGAUCGUAAAACUCUGUUGUUAGAGAAGAACAAGGACGUUAGUAACUGAACGUCCCCUGACGGUAUCUAACCAGAAAGCCACGGCUAACUACGUGCCAGCAGCCGCGGUAAUACGUAGGUGGCAAGCGUUGUCCGGAUUUAUUGGGCGUAAAGCGAGCGCAGGCGGUUUCUUAAGUCUGAUGUGAAAGCCCCCGGCUCAACCGGGGAGGGUCAUUGGAAACUGGGAGACUUGAGUGCAGAAGAGGAGAGUGUAAUUCCAUGUGUAGCGGUGAAAUGCGUAGAUAUAUGGAGGAACACCAGUGGCGAAGGCGGCUCUCUGGUCUGUAACUGACGCUGAGGCUCGAAAGCGUGGGGAGCAAACAGG
rnacentral:rRNA from 1 species